rfam:Myotis lucifugus cont2.34809, whole genome shotgun sequence.
CGUGCAUCGGUGGGGUCCCUCAGCCUGGCUUGCACCCUCUCACAAUCCGUGACCCCUCGGGGAAUGUCAGAGUGCUGGUUUUGGCCCGAUCCCGCAGGCCUGGCCGAGGGACUCCACCGGUGCAUG